AUUAUAUGCAUUUGUAUGAUUAACAAUGCGAAAGAUUCAGGAUACCUUCGGGACCCGUCUUGAAACACGGACCAAGGAGUCUAACAUAUGUGCAAGUUAUUGGGAGAUAAACCUAAUAGCGUAAUUAACUUGACUAAUAAUGGGAUUAGUUUUUUAACUAUUUUAGAUAAUUAACACAAUCCCGGGGCGUUCUAUAUAGUUAUGUAUAAUAAUAUUUAUAUUAUUUAUGCCUCUAACUGGAACGUACCUUGAGCAUAUAUGCUGUGACCCGAAAGAUGGUGAACUAUACUUGAUCAGGUUGAAGUCAGGGGAAACCCUGAUGGAAGACCGAAACAGUUCUGACGUGCAAAUCGAUUGUCAGAAUUGAGUAUAGGGGCGAAAGACCAAUCGAACCAUCUAGUAGCUGGUUCCUUCCGAAGUUUCCCUCAGGAUAGCUGGUGCAUUUUAAUGUUAUAAAAUAAUCUUAUCUGGUAAAGCGAAUGAUUAGAGGCCUUAGGGUCGAAACGAUCUUAACCUAUUCUCAAACUUAAAUGGGUAAGAACCUUAACUUUCUUGAUAUGAAGUUUAAGGUUAUGAUAUAAUGUGCCCAGUGGGCCACUUUUGGUAAGCAGAACUGGCGCUGGGAUGAACCAAACGUAAUGUUACGGUGCCCAAAUUAACAACUCAUGCAGAAACCAUGAAAGGCGUUGGUUGCUUAAAACAGCAGGACGGUGAUCAUGGAAGUCGAAAUCCGCUAAGGAGUGUGUAACAACUCACCUGCCGAAGCAACUAGCCCUUAAAAUGGAUGGCGCUUAAGUUGUAUACCUAUACAUUACCGCUAAAGUAGAUGAUUUAUAUUACUUGUGAUAUAAAUUUUGAAACUUUAGUGAGUAGGAAGGUACAAUGGUAUGCGUAGAAGUGUUUGGCGUAAGCCUUCAUGGAGCUGCCAUUGGCACAGAUCUUGGUGGUAGUAGCAAAUAAUCGAAUGAGACCUUGGAGGACUGAAGUGGAGAAGGGUUUCGUGUGAACAGUGGUUGAUCACGAGUUAGUCGGUCCUAAGUUCAAGGCGAAAGCCGAAAAUUUUCAAGUAAAAAAUCAGUGAGUAAUAUUGUCAAAUCUUUUAUGAUUUUUAAAUACUUGAAUAAUUUUGAACGAAAGGGAAUACGGUUCCAAUUCCGUAACCUGUUGAGUAUCCGUUUGUUAUUAAAUAUGGGCCUCGUGCUCAUCCUGGCAACAGGAACGACCAUAAAGAAGCCGUCGAGAGAUAUCGGAAGAGUUUUCUUUUCUGUUUUAUAGCCGUACUACCAUGGAAGUCUUUCGCAGAGAGAUAUGGUAGAUGGGCUAGAAGAGCAUGACAUAUACUGUUGUGUCGAUAUUUUCUCCUCGGACCUUGAAAAUUUAUGGUGGGGACACGCAAACUUCUCAACAGGCCGUACCAAUAUCCGCAGCUGGUCUCCAAGGUGAAGAGUCUCUAGUCGAUAGAAUAAUGUAGGUAAGGGAAGUCGGCAAAUUAGAUCCGUAACUUCGGGAUAAGGAUUGGCUCUGAAGAUUGAGAUAGUCGGGCUUGAUUGGGAAACAAUAACAUGGUUUAUGUGCUCGUUCUGGGUAAAUAGAGUUUCUAUCAUUUAUGGUAGUUACUUGUUCCCCGGAUAGUUUAGUUACGUAGCCAAUUGUGGAACUUUCUUGCUAAAAUUUUUAAGAAUACUAAUUGGGUUAAACCAGUUAGUUCUUAUUAAUUAUAACGAUUAUCAAUUAACAAUCAAUUCAGAACUGGCACGGACUUGGGGAAUCCGACUGUCUAAUUAAACAAAGCAUUGUGAUGGCCCUAGCGGGUGUUGACACAAUGUGAUUUCUGCCCAGUGCUCUGAAUGUCAAAGUGAAGAAAUUCAAGUAAGCGCGGGUCAACGGCGGGGAGUAACUAUGACUCUUAAGGUAGCCAAAUGCCUCGUCAUCUAAUUAGUGACGCGCAUGAAUGGAUUAACGAGAUUCCUACUGUCCCUAUCUACUAUCUAGCGAAACCACAGCCAAGGGAACGGGCUUGGAAUAAUUAGCGGGGAAAGAAGACCCUUUUGAGCUUGACUCUAAUCUGGCAGUGUAAGGAGACAUAAGAGGUGUAGCAUAAGUGGGAGAUAUUAGAUUUCGGUUGGUAUCGACAAUGAAAUACCACUACUCUUAUUGUUUCCUUACUUACUUGAUUAAAUGGAACGUGUAUCAUUUCCUAGCCAUUAUACGGAUAUAUUUAUUAUAUCUUAUGGUAUUGGGUUUUGAUGCAAGCUUCUUGAUCAAAGUAUCACGAGUUUGUUAUAUAAUCGCAAACAAAUUCUUUAAUGAGAAAAUGCAUUUAUGUAUUUUCAAUUUGAAAAUUUGGUAUAACUCCAAUUACUCAGGUAUGAUCCAAUUCAAGGACAUUGCCAGGUAGGGAGUUUGACUGGGGCGGUACAUCUCUCAAAUAAUAACGGAGGUGUCCCAAGGCCAGCUCAGUGCGGACAGAAACCACACAUAGAGCAAAAGGGCAAAUGCUGACUUGAUCUCGGUGUUCAGUACACACAGGGACAGCAAAAGCUCGCCUAUCGAUCCUUUUGGUUUAAAGAGUUUUUAACAAGAGGUGUCAGAAAAGUUACCAUAGGGAUAACUGGCUUGUGGCGGCCAAGCGUUCAUAGCGACGUCGCUUUUUGAUCCUUCGAUGUCGGCUCUUCCUAUCAUUGUGAAGCAAAAUUCACCAAGCGUUGGAUUGUUCACCCAUGCAAGGGAACGUGAGCUGGGUUUAGACCGUCGUGAGACAGGUUAGUUUUACCCUACUAAUGACAAAACGUUGUUGCGACAGCAUUCCUGCGUAGUACGAGAGGAACCGCAGGUACGGACCAAUGGCACAAUACUUGUUCGAGCGAACAGUGGUAUGACGCUACGUCCGUUGGAUUAUGCCUGAACGCCUCUAAGGUCGUAUCCGUGCUGGACUGCAAUGAUAAAUAAGGGGCAAUUGCAUUGU
rnacentral:rRNA from 1 species